CAGAUUCUGAAGGAGUAGGCCUACGAUGAUCAUGGACUUGUAGGUGAAUCAAAUUGUUCCCAGAUGAUGCCAAGAAUACCAGGAAGAAUACUGGCAUAAAAGCACAAAGUUAUGAGGAGUCAGAAGAACCAAGGUUUGGGAGUGGCUACCUUUCCCACAGGCCAGUCCUCCAUUGGUGGUAGGCAAUUUCCUUGCUGAGUCAGGAGAGUUCACUGCAGUAGGAAAUCUCGGUACUACAAUGCCGGCAAAGGGCGAAUUGAAUGAGGGUGAUCUGAUAUCAAGACACUUCCCUCUACUAAGACCUAAGGGUAAAUUCCACCAGCUCUCAAUAAGAAAAUUUUCAUCUUUCCAAGCUUUUUGAGGAUUAACUUCAUACAGAAAAAUCACUGCAAAAUCUUGAGGAAAAAGGAUCCAGACAGAGAAAACAAGAUCACAAAUAAAAUUAUGUGCUCUGCUCACCCAGUCUGGGAAUCAGGAAAACAGAUACCCUCAUGUUGCAUGACAGAUGGAAUUUGUCCCUGCUCUUAAAUAUGCUUUGUACCUUCAAUGUGGUGAAAGAGUGGGUAGUCAGUUACUAUUAUGAGAAUCCACUAUGGAAACUGAUCCUGUCACUAGAACCCUUUUGAAAUGAUAAAUAAAGGAACA